GUCCGCCUCACCGCGUGCACUGGUCCGGCCGGGCCUUUCCUUCUGGGGAGCCACAUGCCCUUCACUGGGUGUGUCGGGGAACCAGGACUUUUACUUUGAAAAAAUUAGAGUGUUCAAAGCAGGCCUAUGCUCGAAUACAUUAGCAUGGAAUAAUAGAAUAGGACGUGUGGUUCUAUUUUGUUGGUUUCUAGGACCGCCGUAAUGAUUAAUAGGGAUAGUCGGGGGCAUCAGUAUUCAAUUGU
rnacentral:rRNA from 1 species